UUUUUUUGUCACUGCCUGAGUACGCCUGAUCUCGUCUGAUCUCGGAAGCUAAGCAGGGUCGGGCCUGGUUAGUACUUGGAUGGGAGACUUCCUGGGAAUACCAGGUGCUGUAAGCU
ensembl:rRNA 5S_rRNA 5S ribosomal RNA